AGAGGUUGAUCAUGGCUCAGAUUGAACGCUGGCGGCGUGCCUAACACAUGCAAGUCGAGCGGCCGCGGAGCAAUCCGCGGCGAGCGGCGAACGGGUGAGUAAUGCUUCGGAAUCUUCCCAGUAGUGGGGAAUAACUAGCCGAAAGGUUAGCUAAUACCGCAUACGACCUACGGGUGAAAGCAGCAAUGCGCUAUUGGAUGAGCCGAAGUCGGAUUAGCUAGUUGGUAGGGUAACGGCCUACCAAGGCGACAAUCCGUAGCUGGUCUGAGAGGACGACCAGCCACACUGGGACUGAGACACGGCCCAGACUCCUACGGGAGGCAGCAGUGGGGAAUAUUGGACAAUGGGGGAAACCCUGAUCCAGCGACGCCGCGUGUGUGAAGAAGGCCUGCGGGUUGUAAAGCACUUUUAGUGGGGAUGAUAAUGACCUAACCCACAGAAAAAGCACCGGCUAACUCUGUGCCAGCAGCCGCGGUAAUACAGAGGGUGCAAGCGUUAAUCGGAAUUACUGGGCGUAAAGCGUGCGUAGACGGUUAUUUAAGUCGGGUGUGAAAGCCCCGGGCUCAACCUGGGAAUUGCAUUCGAGACUGAAUAGCUAGGGUGCGGAAGAGGGAAGCGGAAUUUCCGGUGUAGCGGUGAAAUGCGUAGAUAUCGGAAGGAACACCAGUGGCGAAAGCGGCUUCCUGGUCCAGCACCGACGUUCAGGCACGAAAGCGUGGGGAGCAAACAGGAUUAGAUACCCUGGUAGUCCACGCCAUAAACGAUGAGGACUAGACGUUGAGAGGGUAAGCUCCCAGUGUCGCAGCUAACGCGAUAAGUCCUCCGCCUGGGGAGUGCGGCCGCAAGGUUGAA
rnacentral:rRNA from 1 species